ACUCAAUAGAUACCCGGGUAGUCCUGGCAGUAAACGGUGCGCGCUUGGUGUGGGAGGAUUCGACCCCUUCUGUGCCGGAGCUAAACGCGUUAAACGCGCCGCCUGGGGAGUACGGUCGCAAGAUUAAAACUCAAAGAAAUUGACGGGGGCCCGCACAAGCGGUGGAGUAUGUGGCUUAAUUCGAUGCAACGCGAAGAACCUUACCAGGCCUUGACAUGCAUCUCUAAGUCGGUGAAAGCCGGCGAGUGUAGCAAUACACAAUUUGCACAGGUGCUGCAUGGCUGUCGUCAGCUCGUGUCGUGAGAUGUUGGGUUUAAGUCCCGCAACGAGCGCAACCCCUGUGAACUGUUGCCACCGGCCUCGGUCCGGACGCACUCUGUUCUAGACUGCCCUCGU
rnacentral:rRNA from 1 species